rnacentral:rRNA from 1 species
GCACAAGCGGUGGAGUAUGUGGUUUAAUUCGAUGCAACGCGAAAAACCUUACCUGCCCUUGACAUCCUCGGAACUUGUCAGAGAUGACUUGGUGCCUUCGGGAACCGAGAGACAGGUGCUGCAUGGCUGUCGUCAGCUCGUGUCGUGAGAUGUUGGGUUAAGUCCCGCAACGAGCGCAACCCUUGUCAUUAGUUGCCAUCAUUUGGUUGGGCACUCUAAUGAGACUGCCGGUGACAAACCGGAGGAAGGUGGGGAUGACGUCAAGUCCUCAUGGCCCUUAUGGGUAGGGCUUCACACGUCAUACAAUGGUCGGUACAGAGGGUUGCCAACCCGCGAGGGGGAGCUAAUCCCACAAAGCCGAUCGUAGUCCGGAUCGCAGUCUGCAACUCGACUGCGUGAAGUCGGAAUCGCUCGUAAUCGUGGAUCAGCAUGUCACGGUGAAUACGUUCCCGGGUCUU